rnacentral:rRNA from 1 species
UACAGAGGGUGCGAGCGUUAAUCGGAAUUACUGGGCGUAAAGCGCACGUAGUCGGCUUUGCAAGUCGGUUGUGAAAUCCCCGGGCUCAACCUGGGAACUGCAUCCGAGACUGCAUUGCUAGAGUAUGGGAGAGGAAAGCGGAAUUUCUGGUGUAGCAGUGAAAUGCGUAGAUCUCGAGAGGAACACCAGUGGCGAAGGCGGGUCUCUGGACAACACCUGACGCUGAGGCACGAAAGCCAGGGGAGCAAACGGG